rnacentral:rRNA from 1 species
AAGUCGUAACAAGGUAUCCGUAGGUGAACCUGCGGAUGGAUCAUUAACAGUAUUAUUCUAUACUUUAACACUUGUGAACCGUAUGAGAGUAUCUCUCUCAAUUUAUUAUACUAUUAGACUGAAACCACUUUAUAUAACAAUUAUAAAACUUUUAGCAACGGAUCUCUGGGCUCUCGCAACGAUGAAGAACGCAGCGAAUUGCGAAAAGUAAUGUGAAUUGCAUAUACCGUGAAUCAUCAAAUCUUUGAACGCACCUUGCACCAUUGGGAACUCCCGAUGGUACGUCUGUUUGAGUAUCAAUCAACACCUGCAAACUUUGCUUUUAACCGAGCCAUACUUUGCAUAUCGAUUGGAUAGUUUUAUAGCUACCGAUUUAGAUACAUAGUCUAGCCACGCUAGUCAACAGAGUUUUUAACACUUCUGAGUGACGAAUGUAGCAGCAUGACUGGGGGCUUCUUGAAGCCUUUAACUUUGAUCUCAAAUCAGACGAGGAUACCCGCUGAACUUAAGCAUAUUAAUAAGCGGAGGAAAAGAAACUAACUAGGAUUCCUUUAGUAACGGCGAGUGAAGAAGGAUCAGCUCAAAUUUAAAAUCUCGCAAGAGAAUUGUAGUUUAUGGAAAUGUUUUCGCUGACGACCUGGGUAAAAGUUCUCUGAGAUGAGACAUCAUAGAGGGUGAGAAUCCCGUAAGUGAUCCAGGCCUCCGUCAUAAUUCGAUACAUUCUUUACGAGUCGGGUUGUUUGGGAAUGCAGCCCAAAACAGGUGGUAAAUUUCAUCUAAAGCUAAAUACCGGCGAGAGACCGAUAGCAAACAAGUACAGUGAUGGAAAGAUGAAAAGAACUUUGAAAAGAGAGUUAAAUAGUACGUGAAAUUGCUAAGAGGGAAACGUUUGAGAUCAGUGUUGCCCUCUGGAAAUCAACUUGUCAGCAAUGGCGGGUGCACUUUCCAGUUGGCAGGUUAACAUUGGUUUCGUGCAGAGGAUAUUAGUACGGAAAGGUGGCCUUCUCCUCGGAGUUGGUGUUAUAGUCUGUGCGAGUACUCUGUACGGGACCAAGGAACGCGAUGUAAGCUUAGCGUGCGAACGCGCUGCUGUGUGGAUUACGCUUGCUGGAUGCUUGCAAACUGUAGGUACAUUCCAUACACCAGCGUGCUAGUAACAUUACAUCAAGGAUGUUGACGAAAUGGUCUUAAACGACC